rnacentral:lncRNA from 1 species
UGUGUGAGUCAAAAUAUGAUUGACCCCUUCAAAUAAGUAGGAGUUAAUGCAUCACUAUAUUUUAAUUUAGUAAAAUCUUGAUCAAAAUAAUUCAUAUGAUGGAUUUGAAAGGUUGAAAUACAAUAUGGUUGACUAUUUUAAGAUUGACAGUUAAACCCAAGAUCACCUUGAGCAUUAGGUCAAAGAGAUGAAUUUAUACGGUAACCAGUCCAGUUGGUUCUAAGUGUU